rnacentral:rRNA from 1 species
GGAGGAAAGCAGGGGAUCGCAAGACCUUGCGCUCAUUGAGCGGCCGAUGCCUGAUUAGCUAGUUGGUGAGGUAAAGGCUUACCAAGGCGACGAUCAGUAGCUGGUCUGAGAGGACGACCAGCCAUACUGGGACUGAGACACGGCCCAGACUCCUACGGGAGGCAGCAGUGGGGAAUUUUGGACAAUGGGGGAAACCCUGAUCCAGCCAUGCCGCGUGAGUGAAGAAGGCCUUCGGGUUGUAAAGCUCUUUCAGCCGGAACGAAACGGUCACGGCUAAUACCUGUGACUACUGACGGUACCGGAAGAAGAAGCACCGGCUAACUACGUGCCAGCAGCCGCGGUAAUACGUAGGGUGCGAGCGUUAAUCGGAAUUACUGGGCGUAAAGCGUGCGCAGGCGGUUUUGUAAGUCAGAAGAGAAAUCCCCGGGCUUAACCUGGGAACUGCGUUGAAUAAACGAGGCUAGAAGGGC